rnacentral:rRNA from 1 species
AGAAUCAACGCUGGCGGCGUGCCUAACACAUGCAAGUCGAGCGCGAAAGGGGAGCACUCCCCGAGUAGAGCGGCGAACGGGUGAGUAACGCGUGGGUAAAUCUACCUCCGAGUGGGGAGCAACAGCGGGAAACUGCUGCUAAUACCGCAUGGACAUCGUCGAGCCUUCGGGUCUGACGAUCAAAGCCGGGGACGCAAGGCCUGGCGCUUGGAGAGGAGCCCGCGUCCGAUUAGCUAGUUGGCGGGGUAAUGGCCCACCAAGGCUCCGAAU